rnacentral:rRNA from 1 species
CCUACGGGAGGCAGCAGUGAGGAAUAUUGGUCAAUGGACGAGAGUCUGAACCAGCCAAGUAGCGUGAAGGAUGACUGCCCUAUGGGUUGUAAACUUCUUUUAUAUGGGAAUAAAAUGUUCCACGUGUGGGAUUUUGUAUGUACCAUAUGAAUAAGGAUCGGCUAACUCCGUGCCAGCAGCCGCGGUAAUAUGGAGGAUCCGAGCGUUAUCCGGAUUUAUUGGGUUUAAAGGGAGCGUAGGUGGAGUGUUAAGUCAGUUGUGAAAGUUUGCGGCUCAACCGUAAAAUUGCAGUUGAAACUGGCAGUCUUGAGUACAGUAGAGGUGGGCGGAAUUCGUGGUGUAGCGGUGAAAUGCGUAGAUAUCACGAAGAACUCCGAUUGCGAAGGCAGUUCACUGGACUGCAACUGACACUGAGGCGCGAAAGUGUGGGUAUCAAACAGGAUUAGAUACCCUUGUAGUC